UGAAUACGAGACGCUAAGGCGUUGAAGUAGUGUAUGUCAUACUUCCAAGAAAAGCUUGCACUGUCAUAGAUAAAAAACGCCUGUACCAUAACCGACACAGGUGGGUAGGUAGAGUACUAAGGGGCGCGAGAUAACUCUCUCUAAGGAACUCGGCAAAAUAACUCCGUAACUUCGGGAGAAGGAGUGCCUUAUUUAUAAGGCUGCAAUAACAAGAUCCAAGCAACUGUUUAUCAAAAACACAGGUCUCCGCUAAGUCGUAAGACGAUGUAUGGGGGCUGACGCCUGCCCAGUGCCAGAAGGUUAAAGAAGUUGGCUAGCAAUAGCGAAGCUGAUAACUGAAGCCCUGGUGAACGGCGGCCGUAACUAUAACGGUCCUAAGGUAGCGAAAUUCCUUGUCGGGUAAGUUCCGACCCGCACGAAAGGCGUAAUGAUUUGGAUACUGUCUCGGAGAGGGGCUCGGUGAAAUAGACUUGUCUGUGAAGAUGCGGACUACCUGCACCAGGACAGAAAGACCCUAUGAAGCUUUACUGUAACUUGAAAUUGAAAUUGGACUUUAUUCGCGCAGUAUAGGUGGGAGGCGUUGAUUGUAAUCUUGCGGGAUUAUUGGAGCCAUCAGUGAGAUACCACCCUUGUAAUGUUAGAUUUCUAACUUUGAAUCAUUAUCUGGUCAAAGAACAGUUUCAGGCGGGCAGUUUGACUGGGGCGGUCGCCUCCUAAACGGUAACGGAGGCGUACAAAGGUUUCCUCUGAACGGUUAGAAAUCGUAUCUAGAGUGUAAAGGCAUAAGGAAGCUUGACUGUGAGACCUACAAGUCGAGCAGGGACGAAAGUCGGUCUUAGUGAUCUGACGGUACUGAGUGGAAAGGCCGUCACUCAACGGAUAAAAGUUACUCUAGGAUAACAGGCUGAUCUCCCCCAAGAGUUCACAUCGACGGGGAGGUUUGGCACCUCGAUGUCGGCUCAUCGCAUCCUGGGGCGGUAGUACGUCCCAAGGGUUGGGCUGUUCGCCCAUGAAAGCGGUACGCGAGCUGGGUUCAGAACGUCGUGAGACAGUUCGGUCCAUAUCCGGUGUAGGCGUUAGAAUAUUGAGAGGAGCCUUCUUUAGUACGAGAGGACCGAGAAGGACAUACCUCUGGUGUACCAGUUAUCGUGCCAACGGUAAACGCUGGGUAGCUAUGUAUGGGGUGGAUAACCGCUGAAAGCAUCUAAGCGGGAAACCCACCUCGAAACGAGUUCUCCCAUGAGAGCCGUGGAAGACCACCACGUUGAUAGGCCGGGUGUGGAAGCGCAGCAAUGCG
rnacentral:rRNA from 1 species